UUUGAAGGCCCUUCAAAAGGGAAAAGAUAUGGCGGAUGGUGGGAGAGUGCUUGCUUGCUCAGUUAUACUAACUGCAAGCGAUACAUAUUUCAGUGGCAUAGUUGGUGCUGCCAUGAAAAAUAAGGUGACGUACAACUACAAGCUUAAAAUCCACUCAACUGGUGACCCCAUUACUUCCCAUUGUGAAUGUCCAGCAGGCAAGGGGCCACAUGGUACAUGUAAGCAUAUUGCAGCAGUUCUAUUACUUCUGCAAUGGUUCACAGAGACGGGCGAAAUUAAAGUAAAGAAGUCAUGCACUGAAAACAUUCAAAAAUUUCAUAAACCUAAAACCAUGUACGAAGGUAAGCCGGUCUUCUCAGAGGAAAUUCCGACAAAAAGAAAGUGUAUGGAUGAAAUGUUGGACGAUCCACGACCUAUAAAACGUCGAAAUAAUGCUGGUUAUACCGAUUAUGUCAGAAACCGUAUGAUCAAUUAUGUUCACCAUUCCUCUCAAGAUCUGGCAAUGCGAUAUUUGUUUCCUGUAGCUAACAUUCAGAUUGCAAGUGAAGACCAUAAGUACCUGCCUUUGCCAUUAACAGAAUAUUUGGUUGACAGAGCUAUACAGGUUACGGACCAAACAAUAGAAGAAAUAGAACAAUAUACAAGAAAACAGGCAAAGUGUAAACUGUGGUAUAACGAAAAAAGGUGGAGAGUAACAGCCCUCGCGUUUCGGGGAUGUAACUAAAAUGACUUGUCGCAGGAAUAUUAAAAAACUAUGUUCAAGCAUGUUCUCUUUCAAUAAAAUUAAUACCAUGCCAAUAAUUCAUGGCAGACAACAUGAAAAAGAUGCUGUCAAACAUUUUGAGUCUUUGACUGGGCUAAAAGUCACGCCAGCAGGAUUAUUUCUUUCUUUUGAUUACCCAUUUUUAGGUGCAUC